UUGUUUUGGGUGGUUUGCAGGAAGGACUCAGGAGUGAUAAAUAGCGAAGCACGCGAGCGUUUUUCUGCAGAACAGCAAUCAUGGCCAAGACGCAAGCAUUGUAUCUCCUCCUGUUGUUGACAGCAUUGGUUUUGGCUGUCCAAUGUAUUCCUGCAGAGGAAAUGUCGCCAAAUGUAGCAGACAGACACAAGCGCAUGUAUUUUCCACCAAAUUAUAUCCAUAGACCUUGUGGAAAACUGGGACUGGGUUGCUUGCCGAUGAAAGCAGUCGGAUAGAUUGUUGGUGCGUUCCGUGAUUUCAAAUAAACUAUAUAUGGUAAUGCAUUUGAUUGGGAAAGCAACUUAAAUGUUUGUUCUGUCUUGAAAUAAAUUUGUAAGUUCAGCAAU